rnacentral:rRNA from 1 species
CCUACGGGUGGCAGCAGUAGGGAAUCUUUCACAAUGGGCGAAAGCCUGAUGGAGCAACGCCGCGUGCAGGAUGAAGGCCUUCGGGUUGUAAACUGCUUUUAUUAGCGAGAAAUAUGAUGGUAACUUAUGAAUAAGGAUCGGCUAACUACGUGCCAGCAGCCGCGGUCAUACGUAGGAUCCGAGCAUUAUCCGGAGUGACUGGGUGUAAAGAGUUGCGUAGGUGGCAUAAUAAGUAGCUAGUGAAAUUUGGGGGCUCAACCAUUCAGACUAUUAGCUAAACUGUUAAGCUCGAGAACGUUAGGGGUAACUGGAAUUUCUAGUGUAGGAGUGAAAUCCGUAGAUAUUAGAAGGAACACCAAUAGCGUAGGCAGGUUACUGGGACGGUUCUGACACUAAGGCACGAAAGCGUAGGGAGCAAACGGGAUUAGAUACCCGGGUAGUC